CCCCUGCUCAUACUCUCUCUCUCAAAAUAAAUGAAUAAAUUUAAAAAAAAAAAGACAUUCUUAUGCCGUAAAGUGAAGUGAUAAAAGCAUAACAGACUUUCAGUGUGACCUCCACUAUGUACAUAGAUACCAUUUGAGAGAUAAUACAUUAACCCAUUGACAGCGAUGAUAUCUUGCUGGUAAGUUUUAUAGAUUAUGUAAAAAUUUCCUUCUUACUUUUCUGUGUUUUUUGAGUUUUCAAAAAUGAGCUUAGCUUUACAUGUUUGGCACAUUUUUAGUGAGAAUCUACCGAGUUCCAAACACAGGGAUGGGUAUUGAAUAAUUGUUGCUUUUGUACUCAGGAAAAUAAGCAGCAAGGACUCAUUUAAGAAACAAAAGAUACUGAUUAUUUUUUUUGGAAUCUCUAUAUGCCUGUAAUGAUCUAAAGCCUAUGACUCUUUGCCGUGUUCGAGGAAGUUCUCUUUUCUGUUCACGGGGAAACAAUGAAAAGAGAAGUGUAAAAGAUGGGAAUUCCAAUACAGCCUGAAUUUGCAUGCUACCUUCAAGAAUAGCUGCUCAUGGUGGUCAGGUGGGAGGAAGUGGCCGAGACUUGGACAGGGGUUCACCCAUUCCUUUCUUGCUUUACUCUGCUCACCAGCAACUUCCUCUGCUUUUGCCUGUGCUGAAAUGCAUAUGCAAUCGCGGAAACCCUCCAGAUCGCUGCUCUCCAGGGCCUACAAACGCAACUUUGGUCUAUAGAAGAAAAAGGAAACUUUUCUACAAAGGCUGGCAUCUCUGUGCAGAAGAGAGAUUUCACUUCCCCCAGAAAGAGGUUAGCCCUGCUGCAUCGUUCAUGCUGGACUCAAAGAGACCUGGUAGGUGAAGACCUGGACCUGACAUCAGAACUGGUAAGACUGGGGCCCCAAAGAAGUCAGGCCUACCCAAAAGGAUGUAAGAGGGACCUGAUCACUCCCCAGAGACCUUAGUGGUCUCACAGGUAGAAAAUUUUGCAGGAGGGAAUGUAAUAGCCUCUCGUGUGUGUGUGUGUGUGUAUGUGAACGUGUGGCUAGGGUAGUCUUGCCAGUCUAGUUCAAGUUUGUGGCUCCAUGGAUGGGCGCCCUGAAGGUCCCCCAAAGUCUACGGAGUCUGAGUGGGCUCUCCUGUCUCACAAUGAAAGGCAUAUGGUCCAGGGCAUCAUCGGAUUAGACUCCAAUUGCAAGUCACAAAGCUGAGUCUGCUACGGCCAAGCUUCAUCUAAAGUUUCCCUUGGGAAUGUGACCAAUGGAGUAUCUGAUUGGUCCUCUCAUCUGAGGGGAUACCCUCCCUUUGUCUGUUUCCAUGACACCAAACACGAGAAAAGAAUUAAUAAUGGGAUCAAAACAGAGUAAGCCUACGAUUUUUGAGGUCAUGUUCAAAUAUUUAAAAAAUGGAUUUUCAGGUGAUUACCAGAUGAAAAUGACACCCAGGAAGUUAAGGACCUUUUAUGAACUAGAAUGGCCCAUAUUCAAUGUAGGAUGGCCCCCGGAAGGGACAUUAGAUGCUCAAAUAGUGCAGCGGGUUUGGCUGAUAUUCACUGGGAACCCAGGUCACCCUGGUCAAUUUUGAUACAUUGAUUCCUGGCUUGGAAUUGCCCCAAAUCCUCAGCCUUGGGUGCAAUUCAUCCAUAGCAAGCAGAGUCAGGCAAAGAUUUUAGCUACCUUAUCUGGAGACUCACCCAGGGAGCCAAAGAAGCAACCCACCACUUCCCUAGUGUUUGCAGGAGACCCGGAGGAAGAUCCCAUCUUUCCACCACCUUAUGACUCACUGGGCUCCCUCCCCCCUCCCCCUGAGCUUGAAACUCCUCCCCAUCUGUCUCUCCUUUGGCUCUGGAAGUGCCGCCCAUCUCUCUUCCACUCCCAGACCUGGUGAACCCUCCCCCAUCAGGGCUAGAAGCCAGACUGCACCCAGAUCCAGACCUAAUGCUCUCCAAAUGCCUGUAAGGGAGGAGAGAGCCUGAAAGGCAGAAUAAGGACAGAACAGUCCAGCCCAGCCAUUCCAUGAUGUAUUAUCAACCUUUCUCUACAACUGACCUCAAUUGGAAACACAACACUCCAUCAUACUCUGAAAAGCCACAAGCAAUGGUCGACUUGAUGGAGUCCCUCUUCCAGACCCAUCGACCGACUUGGGAAAAUUGUCAACAGUUACUCUGUACUCUGUUUAAUACAGAAGAAAGAAGAAGAAUGAGAGAAACAUGACAGUAUCUAGAUCAUGCACCUCCGGGGAUCAAUAACCCUGCUGUCUGGGCUCUAACUGCCACACCUGAAGAAUGCCCAACAUGGGAUUUCACCACAGAAGAGGGACAAGCCCACAUCUGAUGAUACCAGGAAGCCCUCCUUCAGGGAACCUGAGCUGGACUCAAAAAGCCCAUGAACAUGACUAAAAUAUCAUCAGUCACACAGCACCUGGGGAGUCUCCCAGAGACUACUAUGAAAGACUAUGUGAAGCAUACCAUGUAUACAUCCCGUUUGACCCCGAGGCACCAGAAAGUCAACAAAUGGUAAAUACCUCCUUUGUGGCACAGGCUGCCCCAGAUAUCAGAAGAAAAUUGCAGAAGUUGGAGGGCUUUGCUGGAAUGAAUGUCACUCAGCUGAUAGAGGUCACCAAUAAAGUUUUCAUGAACAGAGAAGUCGCAGCCAAAAGGGAAGUGGAGAGAAGCAGAGAGAAGAGUAAAAAAGAAGGCCACCCUUCUCACAACAGCACUAAAAGAAACAGACACUGUAAAGAUGGAAAGACCCCAGCCACCAAAAGAGGGGAAGCCCAGAGCCCCCUUAGCAAAGGACCAAUGUGCAUACUGCAAAGAGAAGGGACACUGGAAGAAUGAAUGUCCAAAUUGGAAGGGGCCCUCAAAACCCAGCUGAUAUCAGGAGGAACUUCAAGGUGAGAACCUCAUUGGUCUGGCUGGGAUAGAAUCGGACAGAGGGGGACCAGGCUAUUUCUCUCUUGGCCCCCAUGAGUCCACGGUUGAAAUGAAAGUGGGGGCUGAACAAUAACUUUCAUGGUUGAGACUGGGGCUGAACACUCGGUUGUUACUUCCCCGGUAGCCCCUUUCAGCCAAAAGACGGCAACCACACUUGGGGCUACUGGGACAUAGGCGAUACAACAGCCCUUCUGUCAAGCUCGACAAUGUGAACUUGGGGUCACAAGGUCCAACACGAGUUCCUCUACUUACCUGACUGCCUGAUUCCCCUCCUGGGCCAAGAUCUGCUCUCCAAACUUGGGGCCUAAAUAACUUUUGAACCCACUGGACACACUAGCUUCCAAUUAAACCCAAGGCAGAAGGAAACCCUGGUCUUGGCAAUUACCCUGCCAAGGGAAGAAGAAUGGAGACUCUUCUGCACCCAGGCCCUACCCUGUAGCCCCUCAGAAUUCAGGCUUAUGUUUUCCUCUGAAUGGGCUGAAGAUAACUCACCUGGACUAGCUUGGAGUUAGGCCCCCAUCAUUGUUGGCUUGCUCCCUGGAACCCAACCUCAGAGACAAAGACAGUACCCCCUUCCACUCAAGGCUAGAAUGGGUAUACAAGAGCACCUGACCAAGCUCAGAGAAGCAGGUAUUCUAAUCAAGUUCCAACUGGCUUGGAAUACCCCGCUCUUGCCAGUCAAGAAGCCAGGAGGAGGAUACCGACCAGUACAGUAUUUGAAGGUCAUUAACAAAGUGACUAUUUCCUUACACCCAGUGGUUCCAAACCUGUAUACCCUUCUCAGACAAAUUCUAGGGUCAGUCAGAUGGUUUACAUGCCUCAACCUAAAGGAUGCUUUCUUCUGCCUCCACCUGGCUCCUCAAAGUCAACCAUCUUUUGCCUUUGAAUGGACUAAGCCCGUUACAGGGUGCCAGAUGCAGAUGACCUGGACACGACUUCCCCAAGGUUUCAAGAACUCACCCACUCUUUUUGGGGAAGCACUAGCUGCAGACCUCACCGACUUUCCGAGGGAAACCACAGGGUGUGUCCUUCUCCAAUAUGUAGAUGACUCCUCCUUUCCAGCGACACCCAAGAAGACUGUAUGAAAGGUAUCAAUGCCCUCCUGCAGCUCCUGACCUACUCGGGGUACCAGUCCUCUUGGAAAAAGGCACAGAUUUGUCAGCAGCAGGUCCAAUACUUAGGCUUCCUCCUCACAAAAGGAAAAAGAGAACUAGGACCGGAAAGGAAGAAGGUUAUCACCACACUACCACAUCUCCAAACAAAAUGAGGCUUACAUGAAUUUUUAGGGGCCACAGGGUUCUGUCGCAUUUGGAUUCCCAGAUUCUCAGCCAUAGCAAGGCCCCUCUAUGACCUGUUGGGAGGGCCAGACCGGGAGCCCCUCACAUGGACUGAGGAGGCAAGGGCCACUUUCACAGAAAUGAAGUUGGCUCUGGGAUGAGCCCCAGCCCUGGGUUUGCCUGAUACAGAAAGGCCCUUUAACCUCUUCAUACAUAAAAAAGAAAAUAGCCCUUGGAGUGCUCACUCAGAGCAUGGGGCCUUGGCAACAGCCAGUAGCCUACCUGUCACAAAAACUUGAUCCUGUGGCUGCAGGAUGGCCACCAUGCCUCAGAGCACUGGCAGCCACAGUCCUGCUCAUCACGGAGGCAGACAAACUCACAAUGGUACAAACACUUAAUGUUAAGGUCCCACACGUGGUCACAUCCCUCAUGAGCACCCAAUGAUAUCGUUUCCUCUCCAAUUCUUGGCUGACACAGUACCAAGACCUUCUCUAUGAAAACCCAAGGGUCACUCUUGAAACAGUAAGAACACUAAACCUGGCCACCUUCCUUCCCAUGGGGAAGGGAGAACCCAACCAUGACUGUUCCAGAGUAGUGGAUGAAGUCUAUGCCAGCCACCUGGACCUCCAAGACCAGGCUCUAACAAGCGCAGAGAUCAUCUGUUCAGCGACGGGAGCAGCUAUUUAUAAGAGGGCAGCUGAAGAGCAGGAUAUGCGGUAACCACAACUACCAAAGUUCUGGAAGCCAAGGCCUUGCCGAAAAGAUGGUUGGCACUACGAGCUGAACUGUAUGCCUUAACCCGAGCCCUCAUCCUUAGCAAAGGUACACAAGUUAACAUCUAUACUGAUUCUCAGUAUGUCUUCACUACUGUGCAUGUACAUGGGGCCAUCUAUAAAGCAAGAGGCCUUCUUACUGCUGCAGGAAAAACUAUCCAAAACAAUGAAGAAAUACUAAAGCUUCUUGAGGCCAUAUGGCUGCCAGACAAGGUGGCUAUCCUACACUGUAAGGGACAUCAGAAAGAUGACCCCAUAACUCAAGGAAAUCAUCUGGCCGAAAAAACAGCCAGAGCAGCCACCUGUGGUGACCCAGGCGAAGCUCCUGCCUACACUAUGACUCUUGCGCCCCACAAGGAAGUCUCCCCACCCCUGUACACAAACGAGGAAAGAAGUUGGGCCUCAACAGAAGGGGGCACACUAAGCAAAGAAGGAUGGUGGGUCAUGCCAAAUGGGCACAUCUUUGUCCCGUCAUCUAUGGGAAAACACCUAGUGAAGGAAUAUCACCAACUCACUCACCUAGGGAAAACUGAGCUAGAGGCCCUCUGCAAAAAGAACUACUAUAUCAGCCAGCAGCCGGCAUUAUGCCGAGUUGUCGGUGAACAAUGUGUAUUGUGUGCCAAAAACAAUGCUCAGUCUGCCCCACAGCCCCCAGUUGGCACACAAAGGAUAGGGACCACCCCUUUAGAAGACUUAGAGGUGGACUUUACCGACAUACAACCAAAUAAAGGGUUAAGGUACCUUCUUGUAGUAAUCUGCACAUAUUUGGGAUAGGUGGAAGCAUUCCUGACCAGAACGGAAUGAAGUAAUGAGGUGGCCAAAACUCUUCUACAGGGGAUUGUGCCUCGGUUUGGUCUACCCUUAACCAUACACAGUAAUAACAGACGUGCAUUUGUGUCAGACAUUACACAGACCCCGACAAAGUCCCUCAACAUUCCCUGGAAACUGCACACUGCUUACCGACCCCCGAGCUCCGGGAAAGUAGAGCGGAUGAAUCGCACCCUCAAGGAAACCCUGGCUAAGUUCCACCACGAGACUAAUCUUCCAUGGCCAGAUUUACUACCACUGUCCCUCUUGCGUUUCCGAUGCAUGCCUGGGGCACUAGAACUCUCCCCUUUCUAGUUAUUAUAUGGGUGAUCCCUCCCCCCACCCCAUGUUUAGGAAAACUCCCAGGAGACCUACACCAGAUUAGACACAAGGAAAUAAGAGAACAGCUCCAGACCUUGGGGGCAGUCCUAAGCAAGUUACAGAGAUACAUCAUAGAGAGGGCUCCAAUUACCUUAGGGAUGCCAUUCACCCCUUUCUGCCAGGAGACUCUGUGUGGGUCAAAGAUUGGAAGAGGGAACCUCUUAAACCACAGUGGACUGGGCCUCAUACUGUUAGUCUAACAACUCCUACAGCCCUUAAAGUUUCCGGUAUCACCCCAUGGGUCCAUCACUCCAGAGUGAAGAAGGCCAACCCAGAAGAACCCACAACCUGGCAAGUGAUCCAGAUCCAGCCAACCCACUUAAAAUGACCCUCAAAAGGGACACUGGCCCCUGAGACCUCCAGCCCUGCUCCAGCCACACCCCAGAAGCUGGCUGGCCUGCACAUGGCAGAUGCUUAAGGAAUUAAUGUGUGAACCAAGCCCAGGGGUUUGGAUGCAACUCUGCCAGCCCUUGCCCCUUACUGAUGUCAUAGCCCUGAUCUUACUUCUUACUGUUGGGCUGAUAGAGACUGCACCAACGAGCUGGACAUGGGACAAAAGAUGCAUGCUGGGUCUCACAUGCCUCUUCUGGAUGAGAGGAUUAUUAAGUAUUGCCUGCAUAUUAUGAUAACCUCUCUCACCCUCACAACUGCUGCUUACCUGCUUUUCUCCCAGGAUUGUUAUAUUACAAAAAGGGGGUAAAGGGCAUUCAGCACCUUCACCUCCCUCCACAAAGAUUGCUACAAGGGAAAAACACCCACUGUCUGUCAGUCACCUGGUGCCCCAAGGACUAAGUAUUGGACCAUAGAGAUAACCCAAAAUGUCAGGAACCCAUGUCACAACAAGGCCUCCAGAAAAGGAAGUGAGCUUGCUACACUUACCUUCCUCAAUGGGGGAUCUUGGACGGGGAAAGAAUGCAAGAUAGCGCUCUUCAAAAAGUUAUAAAGGAUACCCAGGAUAGGGUAAUAUAAGCCAUAAAGGCAACCACUCCCCUGGCAGCCUACCAGGGUUUGAACCUUUCAGCCCUUAAUCAGAUGCUUACCAAUUCCCCACUCCAGCAUUGGGCCAAAAGUACUCUACAAGUCUUCCAUAAAACAGAUAAUCACACCCAAACCUGCUGGAUGUGCUUGCCCUUCAGUUGGAGGGCUUACUUAGCCACUCCCAUCCUCCCUUUGACCUGAGAAGCUCCUGAAAAUCUCAAAACCAACACUUCUGUCUUAAUUGGACCCUUGGCCACUGGGGUCUGUCUCACAAAUGCCAACAAUCUAAUCUGUACAGUCCCUGAAGGUAUGAACGGUACCUCUCUAUGUGGAAGAAAUAGAACCUUAAAGAGGAAUGCAACCCUGUGUUCAACCCCUGGGGUGUUCUAUCUGUGUUCUAAUUCGGCCUACCGAUGCUUAGAGGCCAACUGGACUCAGAUAUGUUAUUCCAUUUUCCUAACCCCAGAGAUAUCCGUAUACACUGAAGAUCAGUUCCUAACAGCCUUUAGCCCCAAAUCCCAGGCUAAACAGGCAAUCCUGCUGCCUGUUCUGAUAGGAGCAGGAAUUGCGACAGGAAUAGGAACCGGAUUAGGGGGCAUAGGUUCAUCCAUAGGACUAAACAAUAGACUAUCUCAAGAGCUACAUGAAGACAUGGAACCAGUGGCAGAUUCUCUGGUAACCUUACAAAGCCAAAUAAACUAUCUGGCGGCAGUGACCCUCCAAAAUAGGCAAGCCCUCAACCUCCUCACUUCAGAAAAAGGAGGGACUUGCAUAUUUCUGGGGAGAGAAAUGUUGCUGUUUUGUAAACCAGUCAGGAAUAGUUACAACUAAGGUUAAGGAACUCAAGGAAAGAAUUCAAUGUAGACAACAGGAAAGUAUCAGUCAAUGGAAUGGAUGGGAUCUCAUGGAUUGGGCAUCCUGGCUUCCUGCCCUGGUGGGGCCCCUCCUCUCCAUAAUUUUACUUGUAUCCAUCGGCCCCUGAAUGCCAUGGUAUGUUUUAUUGAAAACACUGUUGCUCGUCAAACUACUGCAUGUAUCUUACCCUUCUGAGAGUACCAACCUGUAAAACUAAAAGGUGAUGCCUACUAUAAGUUUUUUUUUAAAGGAAUCAAAGGGGGGGAUGUUGGAGAAAUGAAUAAAGUACACCCAAGAUGGCCAAUGGGACUAAAACAAGCUCUGAUCUCUAGCUUAGAGACCCCUCUUCUGGGUUCUUCUUGCUCCAUUUGCCGCGCACACGAAAACCCGCCACAGAUAUGGAAGCUGACAACUAUAAAUUACCCUUCCCACUUGCAUUCAGCGCUCAGAUCUUUGGAGAAACAGUCUCCUUUGAGCCCACUGAUGUUAAAUAAAUCUCCGAUCCACUAAGA